CACUGUUGAAACCGAUAAUGAUUAAUUUGACUUGGCUUAUUAUUUGUUGACAAAUCGUUCAUUUCGUGUUCUACUGGUGAACUGUUCUCAGCGACGCUGUUAACACGAGCGUUUUAAUCUACGUUGUUGUAAUCCAUCUGAGAAGGUCACACCAUAUGUACAACGUUUUUGCGUGAACACGCUUGCCGCCCUCCUACCUCCCAAAAAUAGUUCAAUGCCCAAGUGAUACUUCACCGCCCACUGAGGUGCGAUAUCGCCCCCGUUGAGAACCACUGCUUUAGAUCCAGCUGUUUGGUCUGAGCGUUAAUGAGUGAAUUGGGGCGUUCUCCUCUAUAUACAUUUUAAGAUAUUGCGCAGCGCUUGUUGUUUGUGAAUUGACGUUACACCACAUAGAAGCAUACAUAAAUGCAUUGGAUAAUAAACACAAGUUGGUACAGUGUAUUUUUUUUUUCAUAUGUGAGCAAGAAGGGUGUGAGGUCGCGGCCAUCAAGACCAUACAAUGGUGGCUAAGUCACUCCAAUACUCAGUGCAAAAUAAGAUUUUUCGUUAUAGUAUUAUUUUGAUUAUCAAGAAGAUAUCUUAUUUAUAUCCUAAGCUUCAAUUGGUUUGUAUUAGAUAACAAAUUGUAUUAGAUGCAUUGGAUAACAAAUUACUGAACUAUGUAUUAUAAAUAUAAAAUAAAUAUAAAUAUGCAAAAUAA